rnacentral:rRNA from 1 species
AGUUCGAUCAUGGCUCAGAUUGAACGCUGGCGGGAUGCUUUAUAUAUGCAAGUCGAACGGCAAGCACGGACUUCCGGUCUGGUGGCGAGUGGCGAACGGGUGAGUAAUGUAUCGGAACGUGCCUAGUAGCGGGGGAUAACUACGCGAAAGCGUAGCCAAUACCGCACACGCCCUUCGGGGGAGCGGGGACCUUCGCCUCGCACUAUUAGAGCGGCUGAUAUCGUAGAUUAGCUAGUUGAGGGUAACGGCUCACCAAGGCGACGAUCCGUAGCUGGUUUGAGAGGACGACCAGCCACACUGGGAUCAGGACACGGCCCAGACUUACGGGAGGCAGCAGUGGGGGCCUGGACAAUGGGGGAAACUCCCUGAUCCAGCCAUCCCCGCGUGUAUGAUGAAGGCCUUCUGGGUUGUAAAAGCACUUUUGGCAGGAAAGAAACGGCACGGGAUAAUACCCUGCAACUGACGGUACCUGCAGAAUAAGCACAGGCUAACUACGUGCCAGCAGCCGCGGUAACAUAGGUGCAAGCGUUAAUCGGAAUUACUGGGCGUAAAGCGUGCGCAGGCGGUUCGCGAAAGAUGUGAAAUCCCAGAGCUUAACUUUGAACUGCAUUUUUAACUACCGAGCUAGAGUGUGUCAGAGGGAGGUGAAUUCCGCGUGUAGCAGUGAAAUGCGUAGAUAUGCGGAGGAACACCGAUGGCGAAGGCAGCCUCCUGGGAUAACACUGACGCCUGCGCACGAAAGCGUGGGGGAGCAAACAGGAUUAGAUACCCUGGUAGUCCACGCCCUAAACGAUGUUGUCAACCACGUUGGGGCCUUCGGCCUGGUAGCGCAGCUAAUCGCGUGAAGUUGACCGCCUGGGGAGUACGGUCGCAAGAUUAAAACUCAAAGGAAUUGACGUGGGGACCCGCACAAGCGGUGGAUGAUGUGGAUUAAUUGAUGCACCACAAAAAACCUACCUACUCCUUGAUAUGUCUGGAAUCCUGAAGAGAUUUGGGGAGUGCUCGCAAGAGAACCGAACACAGGAAGUCAGCGGUCACGUCAGCUCGUGUCGUGAGAUGUUGGGUUAAGUCCCGGCAACGAGCGCAACCUUUGUCAUUAGUUGCUACGAAAGGGCAGACCGACGACUGCUGCGACAAACCGAGGAAGGUGGGGAUGACGUCAAGUCCUCGCGGCUCCCGCGGGUAGGGCUUCGUUAAUACGUCAUACAAUGGUCGGGACAGAGGGUCGCCAACCCGCGAGGGGGAGCCAAUCCCCAGAAACCCGAUCGUAGUCCGGAUCGCAGUCUGCACCUUGACUGCGUGAAGUCGGAAUCGCUAGUAAUCGCGGAUCAGCAUGUCGCGGUGAAUACGUUCCCGGGUCUUGUACAUACCGCCCGUCACACCAUGGGAGUGGGUUUUACCAGAAGUAGUUAGCCUAACUGCAAGGAGGGCGAUUACCACGGUAGUAGGAUUCAUGACUGGGGUGAAGUCGUAACAAGGUAG